rnacentral:tRNA from 1 species
GGUGCUGUGGCUUAGUUGUUAAAGUGCCUGUCUAAUAAACAUUAGAUACUGGGUUCAAAUCCCAGCAGUGCCU